CUGUACAAACUUACAAUCUAAAUGUCUUGCGUUAAUAGCGGUAAAAUGGUCGGAAACAUGAUUGUGGAUUGCCUGAUAUGGAUUUAAAAUUUUCUAUCUCGGUAUCUGCUAAAAUAUGCAUACAUUUGCUAUUUUAAAUUCAUAACAGGAUAUAUUACAAGAAUAACUAUAAAUAGUAGAAGGUUACUUUCUUUAGAUAUAGUAUUUCCUGUAGUAAGUUUAUGUUCCAUAAGGCUCAAUUUGGUUGUGGCUCCCGUAAAAAAUAUCUUUUACAAAAACAUAUAUCAAAUGCUAUUCAAUACUGAUAUUAGCUACCUACAAUUUAUCAAUCUCACUAAAUACUAUUCGAAAUGGACCGAUAUCAAUACCAUGAUCAGUAGACCACAAUUCAAACGCGAUGAUUUUUUUUCUUUAAUUUCAAAACUGACUAUAUAACAAGAAUGGUCAAUAAGUUGAUUGACUAAGUUACUAAAUAAAGAUAUUUCAUCAAAUCCUUCAAUGAUUUGCGUUUAUGUAGUCAGAAAUGUUUUUCUCAUCCAACAUGAUAUUUUUCUUACAUAUAUCUUAUAUCAACAUUAAAUUAGAUAGCAAUUUCAAUCUCUAAACCAAGAGUACCAAAACCAAAUUCUAAGUGUGUGAAAAGCAAUGAAUUUAAUUUAAGCAUGCAUAAGUUAGGUUUAGUAAUUUGCUGAUUUCUUGCUUAUGUGGAGUAAAUAAUUUUGUUCAUUUUCGUCAAAUAGUGACAAUCAGUUACAUGCUUUUUAGUCCAAUAGAUACUCCAAGGUUAAACAUAUUAGAAAAAAUUUAUAAAAUUAUAGAAAUAUUAAUAUACUGUCUAGACAUUACAUGAGUAUUUAAAGGUAUAAAAAUUACGACGUCGUAAGAAACAAAAAAUAAAAUAAGAUUAAAUAUUUCCUCCUUUACCUCUUAUACGUCGCUUUUUUGUACAGUAAUGCCUAAUUGGAAUCUACUAGGUAGCACUAUCUAUAUUUACCUACGGUCCAUUUCAAACGUUAGAAUCAGUAUGGUUGUAUAUUGCAAGAGUGUUUGCCAUUCUGUGAAUUAUAAAUGCAUGCUCCUUUAGUAUUCCACAGCAGUUAAUAGCGAUAAUCCUCUACAAGUAUCUGCCUAAUACUACCUUUCACUGCCGCUACCGUGAAGAGCGGCAACGUUGUCAAGAAAAUUAUCAUUUCAUUUGCAUGGGGCUAUCCUUGUACAUUGCAUCGCAUGUUUGAAAUACGCUGUAGUGAUUUAGUUUUACAAAUUUGUAUAUAUUAAUAUUCCGUGUAGCUUAUUUGCCAUUUUUUCUUGACCACUAGAAUAUUCUUAGUUUUUCUCAACAGCUUACAUAGAAUGGUUAAUAAUAGAAAAAUAUAAUACAUCAUGCACUGGCUGAUGUUACGCUGACCAAUAAAGUCAACUCAUAAGGUACCGGAAUACUGAGGUAUUUAAGGGAAUGAAAUGCUUCUCGACGCCCUGACAGGACGGGACCCAUCCACUCCGCCCGUUGGAUUCGAACCUGUGGUUGGAGUGCUCUUCAGUACUGGUCGAGGUUGUCUCGGGGAGUUUAUUUUGUGGAGAUCACAGGACUCUUGGGUUGGUGGUAGAGGUAUUGGACAGACUAGGAUCCACGUAGACAGGCCAUUCUUAAUAGGAGCUGCUCUCUGGUGGCCAGUAUGCUUAUUGGCCAUUGUAUACUAAGGCGGCACCUAUAUCUGCUUGAAUUGGCGGAUAGCCCAAGGUGCCAUCUAUAUAAGAGGAAACAUCCUCACUUAUCUUCUGGAAAUGCCCGGCUUUGGCCUACCAGAGGAUUAAACGUUCGCAACAGCAGAAAGAGUUCUGAUUUAGAGCUCCUGCGGAUUUUAGCAGAUAUGAAAUAGCCUGGGUCUCAGAA